GUCGUAAUGGAGUGAUCAAUGCUAAACUAAUUACAAGAGAACGACACCAAGCAACAGAAGCAUGCCUGCAAACUUUUGCACAGUUACUAUUUGACAACUUGGGAUUCUUAAAACGCUUCCGAAUCUUCUCAUUUAUUGCUUCAAGUGUCUCAAGCUUGCCAUUUCUCUCCAGUGAUGCAAUAUAUCUGUGGAGAUAGGCAUAUAAGCUUCCUUCUGAUAUUUCUGGGCUUCUGAUCUCAGGCAAGGUGAAUAUUUCUGGCCAUAAGUUUCCCUGUUCCAUGAAUAAUGUGAACAUCUUCUCCAAUUGAUGCUCAGAGCUGCUCAAGGCACCAGAGCCAGCUUGAUGCAUGGAUGAUACAAGGGCCUUGAUGAACCUCCCCAGGGCUACUGGUACAAGAUCUUCAAUGCACAAUGAAAACCUUUUGUCUGCCCGAAGAGAUAUAAAAGCACGAUCCAGGGUACCAAUGUCUCCAGUUU
rnacentral:misc_RNA from 1 species